rnacentral:lncRNA from 1 species
AUGGUAAGAUCAGUAAAUUCCAUGAAUAGGUGCCAAUGCUACACUUCCUUAGCUAGGAGCUAGCAAUGCUACGUGGAAUUGCAUGUCGGUAUCUUCUGAGAGGUUGUUCUCUCUCCACUUCUCAUUCAAGUCUGAAGAUGCUUACAGUCACCUGCAGUACUUCUAAAUCAGAGUUUUGAGAUGGAAGAGGUCACAGCUCCAAUGAUCUCAGCCGAAGAAGAUGAGGAAGAAGACCAGCACAAGUGCUACGACUCAGUGACCUCAUGGGAAACCGUGGGGAGAGAUAGCAUUCAAGAAGGAACAUGGGGAAGAGUAUCCAGAGUACAGAGUGGAAGCCUUUGCCCUCCUCUUUCAGCUCUCCAAGGAAUGUCUUCCUGCCCGGUGUCCUGGACAACUGCCUGUCUUUAGAAUUAACAAAUGCUCUGACUUGCAGAGUCUCUCUCAAAUCAGCUUUUGCUGGUAUCAGGAUUUCUCUGGAGGACUCAACAAAGUCCUCUCCAUGCCUGAGAUUCCUACAAUGAUUGAAAUUCCAUUGUUUCUUCCCCGUGGCAUCCAGCCCACUGUACGCUGUGGCAUUUGGACAGGUUCUUGCCUCGAGUUCCUGCUCUGCCUUCAUUUCACUAUACCUAGAAGCUGAAAUAAACUAUUUCCUCCACAA